rnacentral:rRNA from 1 species
GGGAGGCAGCAGUGAGGAAUAUUGGUCAAUGGGCGCAAGCUGAACCAGCCAUCCGCGUGCAGGAUGACGGUCCUAUGGAUUGUAACUGCUUUUGUACAGGAAGAAACACUCCCUCGUGAGGGAGCUUGACGGUACUGUAAGAAUAAGGAUCGGCUAACUCCGUGCCAGCAGCCGCGGUAAUA